rnacentral:rRNA from 1 species
UUGGUGGUAGUAGCAAAUAUUCAAUAGAGAACAUUGAAGACUGAAGUGGAGAAAGGUUUCACAUGAACAUCAAUUGUAUGUGAGUUAGUCGAUCCUAAACGGAGGGUUAAUUCCUAUAAAUGAAUAAUUUAUUAUUCUACACCGUGAAAGGGAAACAGGUUAAUAUUCCUGUACUAUAUCAAGGAGCGUUAAAGUGGUAACACAAAUGAUCUCAGAAACAUUGGUAGAAUAACCAGGAAGAGUUCUCUUUUCUUUUUAA